rnacentral:rRNA from 1 species
GACGAACGCUGGCGGCGUGCUUAACACAUGCAAGUCGAACGGAAAGGCCCUGCUUUUGUGGGGUGCUCGAGUGGCGAACGGGUGAGUAACACGUGAGUAACCUGCCCUUGACUUUGGGAUAACUUCAGGAAACUGGGGCUAAUACCGGAUAGGAGCUCCUGCUGCAUGGUGGGGGUUGGAAAGUUUCGGCGGUUGGGGAUGGACUCGCGGCUUAUCAGCUUGUUGGUGGGGUAGUGGCUUACCAAGGCUUUGACGGGUAGCCGGCCUGAGAGGGUGACCGGCCACAUUGGGACUGAGAUACGGCCCAGACUCCUACGGGAGGCAGCAGUGGGGAAUAUUGCACAAUGGGCGGAAGCCUGAUGCGGCGACGCCGCGUGCGUGAUGACGGCCUUCGGGUUGUAAACCGCUUUCGCCUGUGACGAAGCGUGAGUGACGGUAAUGGGUAAAGAAGCACCGGCUAACUACGUG